GCUGCCACCUCGACCCCCAGCUCCGCUGCCACCCUGACCGCCAGCUCUGCUGUCACUGGGACCACCAGCUCCGCUGCCACCUCGACCCCCAGCUCCACUUCCAGAGCUACCAGCUCUGCUACAAUCUCUCCACAAUCUACAGUCAUUACAUCCAAGAAUACUGGGCAUCCUACCUCUUCUGGGUCUCCUGCAGUUACACCCACCCCCGCUGUCAUCAGCUCUGCAAGUUCACCUAGCUCCAGCGCUUCUAGCGUCCCAGCCUCAUCUGCUCCCACCCCGGGUUCCAUCCCAACUAGCAGAGAUACGACUUCUUCUGGCCCACCGAGGACUGGACCAGCCACCUCUCCCAGUCUACCAGAAUCCACGACACCUUCAGGGUCUGGCGCUACCGCCUCAUCUUUUGGGCCCGUUUCUGUCACCUCACAGACCACAGCCUCUCCGGAUAGCAGCGCCCUCCCCUACUGGGCCAUCAUCCUCAUCUGCCUGGCCGCGCUGAGCCUGCUGAGCUUCUGCUCUCUGCUGGCAUUUUUCCUAAAGUCGAGGCUGGCUGGUGUCACCUCCUACUCCGUCCAGAAGGCUCAUCAGUUCCUCCAGAACCGGACCUGAUGCGAUCACAGCUGAGGGAAGAAUGGGCCAUCCAGAACCUCCGACUACAGCCACCCAUAAGGGGGCUGCUCCGAUCCGGCACGCCUGGGCUAACCCAGAGCCACUAUAGUCAGUAUUGAGCCGAGAAAGCCAGUAUUAAUCCUUAGCUGCCAGAUGAACAUAUGCUGCCUUCUGGGGGGCAGCGGUGGGAUGGCGCUUUGGUCCCCUUCCGGGGGCAGGGAACACAGAUCGGUGGAAUCUGCACCGAGAACCCAGGCAUCCUAUGUUCUGUUACAUCCAUUAGGUGGAACCCAGAAGAAAGGAACAGAGAAAAUAAAAAGGAGAUGGAUGACUAUCGAAUGGGCUGGAUGGUGGUGGGGUUGUCCAGUGGUUAGUGCAUAGGACUCCUGGCUUCUAUCCCCAAUUGUUGGAGUGAAGUGGGGUCUAGUAGGUUAAGCAGAGGGAGCUGGGAGCCAGGACACCUGGGUUCUAUUCCUCUGACUGCACAGCAUCCAUUUAACAAAUAUUUUCUUUGCUGGUCUGCACUGCUGUAUUUGGCUGCCUUAGACUGUGACUUCUUCAUGGCAGGGCCUGUCUCUCUCUGUGUGUCUGGGCAGCGCCCAGCACAACGGGGCCCUGAUCUAAGCUGGGGCAAGGACUGUC